rnacentral:rRNA from 1 species
UACAGAGGUGGCAAGCGUUGUUCGGAAUUACUGGGCGUAAAGGGCGCGUAGGCGGCCUUCUAAGUCAGACGUGAAAUCCCCCGGCUUAACCUGGGAACUGCAUCUGAUACUGGAUGGCUUGAGAUUGGGAGAGGGAUGCGGAAUUCCAGGUGUAGCGGUGAAAUGCGUAGAUAUCUGGAGGAACACCGGUGGCGAAGGCGGCAUCCUGGACCAACACUGACACUGAGGAGCGAAAGCCAGGGGAGCAAACGGG